CUUAAAGGAAUUGACGGGGGCCCGCACAAGCGGUGGAGCAUGUGGUUUAAUUCGACGCAACGCGAAGAACCUUACCAGGGCUUGACAUCCCCUGACCGCGUAUGAAAGUACGUUUUCACCCUCGGGUGACAGGGAGACAGGUGGUGCAUGGUUGUCGUCAGCUCGUGUCGUGAGAUGUUGGGUUAAGUCCCGCAACGAGCGCAACCCCUACGUUUAGUUGCUAACGCGUGAAGGCGAGCACUCUAGACGAACUGCCGUUGACAAAACGGAGGAAGGUGGGAUGACGUCAAAUCAUCAUGCCCCUUAUGUUCUGGGCUACACACGUGCUACAAUGGCCGGUACAGACGGACGCAAAGCCGCGAGGUGGAGCAAAUCCUAAAAAAGCCGGUCUCAGUUCGGAUUGCAGGCUGCAAUUCGCCUGCAUGAAGUCGGAAUCGCUAGUAAUCGCAGGUCAGCAUACUGCGGUCGAAUACGUUCCCGGGCCUU
rnacentral:rRNA from 1 species